ACUAGGGACAGAGUGAGGGAGGUGGUGACUAGUGACAGUCACCACCUCCCUCACUCUGUCACUAGUCACCACCUCCCUCACUGUGUCAGCCCCUCC